CAAUAGCGUAUAUUAAAGUUGUUGCGGUUAAAAAGCUCGUAGUUGGAUUUCUGUUGGGAACGACCGGUCCGCCCAUUGGGUGUGUAUCUGGCUUGUUCUCGGCAUCUUCUUGGUGAACGUUGCUGCACUUGACUGUGUGGAGCGCUACCCAGGACUUUUACUUUGAGGAAAUUAGAGUGUUUCAAGCAGGCAUAUGCCUUGAAUACAUUAGCAUGGAAUAAUAAGAUAGGACCUCGGUUCUAUUUUGUUGGUUUCUAGAGCUGAGGUAAUGAUUAAUAGGGAUAGUUGGGGGCAUUCGUAUUUAACUGUCAGAGGUGAAAUUCUUGGAUUUGUUAAAGACGAACUACUGCGAAAGCAUUUGCCAAGGAUGGUUUCAUUGA
rnacentral:rRNA from 1 species